AGUGAACGCUGGCGGUAGGCCUAACACAUGCAAGUCGAACGGCAGCACAGUAAGAGCUUGCUCUUACGGGUGGCGAGUGGCGGACGGGUGAGGAAUACAUCGGAAUCUACUUUUUCGUGGGGGAUAACGUAGGGAAACUUACGCUAAUACCGCAUACGACCUACGGGUGAAAGCAGGGGAUCUUCGGACCUUGCGCGAUUGAAUGAGCCGAUGUCGGAUUAGCUAGUUGGCGGGGUAAAGGCCCACCAAGGCGACGAUCCGUAGCUGGUCUGAGAGGAUGAUCAGCCACACUGGAACUGAGACACGGUCCAGACUCCUACGGGAGGCAGCAGUGGGGAAUAUUGGACAAUGGGCAGAAGCCUGAUCCAGCCAUACCGCGUGGGUGAAGAAGGCCUUCGGGUUGUAAAGCCCUUUUGUUGGGAAAGAAAAGCAGCAGGUUAAUACCCCGCUGUUCUGACGGUACCCAAAGAAUAAGCACCGGCUAACUUCGUG
rnacentral:rRNA from 1 species